rnacentral:rRNA from 1 species
CAGCAUUUCAGUUGCUUGCAAACUGGAGAUGGCGACCGGCGCACGGGUGAGUAACACGUAUCCAACCUGCCGAUAACUCGGGGAUAGCCUUUCGAAAGAAAGAUUAAUACCCGAUGGCAUAAUAGAACCGCAUGGUUUUUUUAUUAAAGAAUUUCGGUUAUCGAUGGGGAUGCGUUCCAUUAGGCAGUUGGUGAGGUAACGGCUCACCAAACCUUCGAUGGAUAGGGGUUCUGAGAGGAAGGUCCCCCACAUUGGAACUGAGACACGGUCCAAACUCCUACGGGAGGCAGCAGUGAGGAAUAUUGGUCAAUGGGCGCAGGCCUGAACCAGCCAAGUAGCGUGAAGGAUGACUGCCCUAUGGGUUGUAAACUUCUUUUAUAUGGGAAUAAAGUUUUCCACGUGUGGAAUUUUGUAUGUACCAUAUGAAUAAGGAUCGGCUAACUCCGUGCCAGCAGCCGCGGUAAUACGGAGGAUCCGAGCGUUAUCCGGAUUUAUUGGGUUUAAAGGGAGCGUAGGUGGACAGUUAAGUCAGUUGUGAAAGUUUGCGGCUCAACCGUAAAAUUGCAGUUGAUACUGGCUGUCUUGAGUACAGUAGAGGUGGGCGGAAUUCGUGGUGUAGCGGUGAGAUGCUUAGAUAUCACG